rnacentral:tRNA from 1 species
CAUUGAAUGGCUGAAACAAAAGCAUUGGUCUCUUAAACCACUUUAUAGUAUAUAAUACUUUCAAUG